rnacentral:rRNA from 1 species
ACCAACGGGGGGACGAGGGCCGUACCUAAACGGUAGUCGGUUCGUAUGAUUGGGGUG